GCGAGGGUGGCGGAAUUGGCAGACGCGCCAGGUUUAGGUCCUGGUGCCGCAAGGCGUGCAGGUUCGAGUCCUGUCCCUCGCA
rnacentral:tRNA from 1 species